UAAGUACUAAACAUGAAAAUAAAUUAUGGGCUGCUAAUUUUUAACAGGUUUUGAUUAUUUUCAUCUUUUUUAACCACUAAAAACCUACUUUUUAUCAUGUUAUGGUAAAACUUGUUAUUAAAAUCUAACCUGAACCAUAUAAUUCCAAAUGUUAUUUGAGUGUUCCAGCUAUUGAAAAAACGCUUGAUUCCAAAAAGAUCAGUUUUAGGAAACAACUCUAAGGGUAGAAACGUAUUACUGUAUAAAAAGUUUAAAUCUCUUUUUCUGCCCAUUAUAGAUAUUUAUAAUUUUAUUCUUUAGUGUCAAAAUCGUCGUAGCUAUUUGAAUAGUCUUGGAGGCAUUAUUUGAUAGGAGAAUUCAGAUGAAGGAUUUCUGACUGAUUUAGAAGAUGUGAUUGGCUGUUGCAAAUUAUGACUUCAUGAUGUAAAUGAAGCUGGUAAAGUUGCUGUUGAUUGGGAGUUUUCUUUAAAGAACAAUUGCUGCAUGUGGCCAGCUCUAAAUAUAUUUUAAUGAAUGCAGAAUGUACUUUAAACCCUCCUUAUAUUGGAUCUACAAAGUGAGACUGAACCACUUAUUCACACAUUUUGCAAAAAGCUUACACAAGCACCUGCUUCAAAAAUGGCCUGAUAGUAGCUUGGAUCAUGUAAACUAGGGGCACACAACCGUUUUGAGUGAAGGGCCACUUGCACAGCAGGUUGACUAACCAAGAACUGCACUUGUAUUUGGACAUGUUAACAGCAAAUAUAGUAAGAUUUAU